ensembl:lncRNA
UGAAGGGGUGUACUUGGUCUGAAACAGUGUUCAGGUAGGUGGUACAGUACCUGUCAAAGUAACAGCCACAUGAAUGCCAGGACCCAAGAUUUCCCAGCAGCUCAUUGCACAGAUUAUCACACCACCUCCACCGGCUUGCCUUCGUCUCCCAUAGCGCUUCCUGGUGCCAUCUCUUCCCCAGUCUGUGCUACAGUAGCUCUUCUGUGGGAUCGGACUAGACGUGCUAGCCUUCGCUCCCCACGCGCAUCAAUGAACCUUGGGCGCCAG